rnacentral:pre_miRNA from 1 species
CAUCUACUCCCUCCGUCCAACAAAGGAUGUCUCAACUUUGACUAAAUUUGAAUGCAUCUAUACACUAAGUCAUGUCUAGAUAUAUCCAAAUUUUGACAAACUUGAGACAUCUUUUGUUGGACGGAGGAAGUACAUA